rnacentral:rRNA from 1 species
AGCGAACGCUGGCGGCAGGCUUAACACAUGCAAGUCGAGCGGGCACCUUCGGGUGUCAGCGGCAGACGGGUGAGUAACACGUGGGAACGUACCCUUCGGUUCGGAAUAACGCUGGGAAACUAGCGCUAAUACCGGAUACGCCCUUAUGGGGAAAGGUUUACUGCCGAAGGAUCGGCCCGCGUCUGAUUAGCUAGUAGGUGGGGUAACGGCCUACCAAGGCGACGAUCAGUAGCUGGUCUGAGAGGAUGAUCAGCCACACUGGGACUGAGACACGUCCCAGACUCCUACGGGAGGCAGCAGUGGGGAAUAUUGGACAAUGGGCGCAAGCCUGAUCCAGCCAUGCCGCGUGAGUGAUGAAGGCCUUAGGGUUGUAAAGCUCUUUUGUCCGGGACGAUAAUGACGGUACCGGAAGAAUAAGCCCCGGCUAACUUCGUG